UUAAAUUAACUCAUGGGCAAGCUAGACGAUGAUUGGAGGCUAAGGAUCGGAGCUUGGCUAAGAGUGCCUCUUAUUUGUCACUGUGAGUGGGUUUAGUUUAAUAUGCAUCUAAUGCAUGACGUGACAACCGCCGCGACGUCCCGAUAGGCACUCAUUACCCCGAAUGCCGAUCGAAACCCCGCAAGGCUUAGCAUCAGCUUCUGCAUCUCCCCAGUGAGCGACAGUUAUUAAAUCUCACAUUUCAAAAAAAAUCAUAAGUCAUUUCCAAAUCAAAAUAAUAAAAUAUUACUUUCUGGCUCACAGGGGCAUUUUCGUCAUUUUUCUUCGAAAAUACUGAAACUCGCCAAAAACAUGGUGUAAAAGCUAAAUAUAUUCAUACAUAUUUUAAAUUAAAUAACUGAAGAAUAAAAUUACUUUUACAGUGACACGUGGGCCCCCAACUGACUAAAAAAAUGUAAGAUUACGAACCCUUACUUUCUAAGAUACAACUCCGAGAUUAAUUCUCGUCUUAAUCAACUAUCAACAAAUUGUCCUGAGCCUGAAAAAUGUAUAGAAAGAAGGGGUGAGAUUAUAAAAUACCAGUGAGUAGACAGACAUCAUCAAAAUAAUCUAAAACCGAGUAAUAGGAGACAAUUAAAAUAAUUCAUCUCAACCCAUAUAAAUAAUUAGAUUUCAUCCAAUUACUCAACAUGGCUUAUGCACUUUUCAAAAACUUGGCCCUUGCCAAAAAUUCAUUCUCGGGGAUACCCCGCGAAGGCAUCUUACCGAGACCGCCAAGGCUGUUUAUUGUCACACACACAAACACAUUUCACCUCUGAUAACACAGCCGUUCCUCGGCGUUGACUGAGUCCCAAUUUCACGUGGUGGCCAACGUGAAGUGUACUCAAAUCCUACCUCGGGAGUUAUCCUACGCGCCUCUCCAAUUGAGGUAAGCUCAAUAAUUGGGAACUGUGCCCCUCUAAUUAGGCUGUCCCACGGAACCCCCGUCACUGCAAUGCCUCAAUUUCUUUUCCAAUCCCUCAAUUCACCAAGCACAACUAAUUAACACACAAUUAGGCAAAAUUAUCUUCACUUUUCUUCUUGGAACUUUCGGCUAUUGAAGGUUCAUGGGGAAAAUGGAUUCUUUUCUUGUUGUUUUGUUUCUAAACAUGUUUAACUAAAUCUAAACACCAACAUAACUCAAAAUCAAACAAUUCCAACAUCUUUCUCUCUCCAUACCCAUUUUGACCAGCCAUAAUUUCAUCAUGAAAACAUGUAAUUUAACCAUGGAAAUUAAGGAAAAAUGCAUGGGUAAGGUAAAUCACUAGCAAAAUCAAAGAAAUUUUACCUUUGCUUGAUCAAAUCCUUGAAUUCCAACACUUUCUCUUUGAUUUUUCCCACCUAGGGUUUGUUCUUCCUUGGUUUCUCUUCUCUUCUGG
rnacentral:lncRNA from 1 species